rnacentral:rRNA from 1 species
GAUGAACGCUAGCGGCAGGCCUAACACAUGCAAGUCGAGGGGGAAGUUACUUUCGGGUAACUGAGACCGGCGUACGGGUGCGUAACGCGUAUACAAUCUGCCUUUCACUGGGGGAUAGCCCGAAGAAAUUUGGAUUAAUACCCCAUAGUAUAUAGGGACGGCAUCGUUUUUAUAUUAAAGCUACGGUGGUGAAAGAUGAGUAUGCGUUCUAUUAGCUAGUUGGAGAGGUAACGGCUCCCCAAGGCGAUGAUAGAUAGGGGUUCUGAGAGGGAUGUCCCCCACACUGGUACUGAGAUACGGACCAGACUCCUACGGGAGGCAGCAGUGAGGAAUAUUGGACAAUGGUCGGAAGACUGAUCCAGCCAUGCCGCGUGCAGGAUGAAGGUCUUAUGGAUUGUAAACUGCUUUUGUAAGGGAAGAAUAAGAGCUACGCGU